UAGGGAAAAAAGGGUUGGUAUAAGCUAGGCCUAGGAAGGAAGAGAAAACACCACUGACAGUAUAACCUAUAGUGGAGACACAGAGGUAGACUAUUUUGUCCAGGAUUCAUCAACAGCAGCUGUAAUGGAGACCAGCAAGAAUGUUUGCCCGGGAAUCCCUCCCUUAAAGUUGCUGCCUACAACCCAUGUUCGCAUGACUGUUGUGGAAACUACUGCAUCGAUCAGGUCACAGCACUUUGACUGUGGAAGCAGAUAUGAGAACCCACCCACUCUGUCACUGAGGAGGCUGCCUUAGAUGGGGGGACCAGGGAGAGGGGGAGCCUUGCCUGGAGAAGAAUGGAGACUGUGAAUCUGGGGAGGGCUGAGCAGUCGGACUGCAGAGAGAGGGAUCCCUGAGCCUAAGCCACGGAGAUCUCUGCCCUGAGUCUUCAUCUGACUGUGAGUCACUGAGUGAAGUAAGGAAAAUACCAGGCGCCGGGGGAAGACCCACCCGAGAGGAAAAGAGGAAAUGAAGCUGGAGCUGCAGGCAGGUGGGGACGCUUCCUGCUCCCAGCGGCCAGCGAGGACACCUCAUAACUCACCAGGCAUCGGGCAGAGUGUGCAGGGCUCCACAUGGACAUGGACCAAGACUGACCGUAUUCUGGGCCAUGAAACAAAUCCCCGCAAAGGAUCCAAGUCAUACAAAGAGGAAUAAUCCCUUUGAAAGAUAAUACCCUGAAUAUUCAUUGCAAGGACAGAUGUUGAAGCUAAACCUCCAAUACUUUGACCACCUGAUUCGAAGAGCUGACUCAUUGGAAAAGACC